AUUAUGCAUUCUUGACACCUUGUACUGAGGAUCAAUGUAGACAAUCUUGCUUGCAUGAUUGCAUGUGUUCUGUUGCCAUUUCCAGAGCAGGCACUAUGUCUUGGAAGAAGAAGCUACCCCUCUCAAAUGGAGAGGAUCCAAAUCUUAACGCGAAAGCGUUUCUCAAAAUUGGGAAAGGUAAUGUCAGUCUACAAAGUCCCCUUUUCCCAACUGAAAAGACAAAUCCUCUUUCCCCUAC
rnacentral:misc_RNA from 1 species